AGGAUUAGAUACCCUUGUAGUCCACGCCGUAAACGAUGCAUACUAGGUGUUGGCCCUUUUGGGUCAGUGCUGCAGUUAACGCAUUAAGUAUGCCACCUGGGGAGUACGUCGGCAACGAUGAAACUCAAAGGAAUUGACGGGGGCCCGCACAAGCGGUGGAGCAUGUGGCUUAAUUCGAUGCAACGCGAGGAACCUUACCUGGGCUAAAUCCACAGCGCUACCUCUGGAAACAGAGGGUUUCUU
rnacentral:rRNA from 1 species